rnacentral:rRNA from 1 species
GACGAACGCUGGCGGCAUGCCUAACACAUGCAAGUCGAGCGAGCAGAUCCCUUCGGGGUGAAGCUAGCGGCGGACGGGUGAGUAACACGUGGGCAACCUGCCUCAUAGAGGGGAAUAGCCUUCCGAAAGGAAGAUUAAUACCGCAUAAGAUUGUAGCUUCGCAUGAAGCAGCAAUUAAAGGAGCAAUCCGCUAUGAGAUGGGCCCGCGGCGCAUUAGCUAGUUGGUGAGGUAACGGCUCACCAAGGCGACGAUGCGUAGCCGACCUGAGAGGGUGAUCGGCCAGAUUGGGACUGAGACACGGCCCAGACUCCUACGGGAGGCAGCAGUGGGGAAUAUUGCACAAUGGGGGAAACCCUGAUGCAGCAAUGCCGCGUGAGUGAUGACGGCCUUCGGGUUGUAAAGCUCUGUCUUCGGGGACGAUAAUGACGGUACCCGAGGAGGAAGCCACGGCUAACUACGUGCCAGCAGCCGCAGUAA